rnacentral:rRNA from 1 species
GAGUUUGAUCAUGGCUCAGGACGAACGCUGGCGGCGUGCUUAACACAUGCAAGUCGAACGGAAAGGCCCUGCUUUUGUGGGGUGCUCGAGUGGCGAACGGGUGAGUAACACGUGAGUAACCUGCCCUUGACUUUGGGAUAACUUCAGGAAACUGGGGCUAAUACCGGAUAGGAGCUCCUGCUGCAUGGUGGGGGUUGGAAAGUUUCGGCGGUUGGGGAUGGACUCGCGGCUUAUCAGCUUGUUGGUGGGGUAGUGGCUUACCAAGGCUUUGACGGGUAGCCGGCCUGAGAGGGUGACCGGCCACAUUGGGACUGAGAUACGGCCCAGACUCCUACGGGAGGCAGCAGUGGGGAAUAUUGCACAAUGGGCGGAAGCCUGAUGCAGCAACGCCGCGUGCGGGAUGACGGCCUUCGGGUUGUAAACCGCUUUCGCCUGUGACGAAGCGUGAGUGACGGUAAUGGGUAAAGAAGCACCGGCUAACUACGUGCCAGCAGCCGCGGUAC